rnacentral:rRNA from 1 species
UGGGAGGAAAGCAGGGGAUCGUAAGACCUUGCGCUUUUGGAGCGGCCGAUGUCUGAUUAGCUAGUUGGUGGGGUAAUGGCCUACCAAAGCUUCGAUCAGUAGCUGGUCUGAGAGGACGGCCAGCCACACUGGGACUGAGACACGGCCCAGACUCCUACGGGAGGCAGCAGUGGGGAAUUUUGGACAAUGGGCGCAAGCCUGAUCCAGCCAUGCCGCGUGAGUGAAGAAGGCCUUCGGGUUGUAAAGCUCUUUCAGCCGGGAAGAAAAGGCUGCGAUUAAUAAUCGCAGUUCAUGACGGUACCGGAAGAAGAAGCACCGGCUAACUACGUGCCAGCAGCCGCGGUAAUACGUAGGGUGCGAGCGUUAAUCGGAAUUACUGGGCGUAAAGGGUGCGCAGGCGGUCUUGUAAGUCAGAUGUGA